CCUACGGGCGGCAGCAGUGGGGAAUAUUGCACAAUGGGGGAAACCCUGAUGCCGCAACGCCGCGUGGGUGAAGGAGCGUUUCGGCGCGUAAAGCCUUGUCAGCAGGGAAGAAAAUGACGGUACCUGAAGAAGAAGCCCCGGCUAACUACGUGCCAGCAGCCGCGGUAAUACGUAGGGGGCCAGCGUUAUCCGGAUUUACUGGGUGUAAAGCGCUCGUAGGCGGUAUGUCAAGUCAAGGGUGAAAUCCCCGCGCGCAACGUGGGAACUGCCUUUGAAACUGGCAAACUGGUGUGUGUGAGAGGAUAGUGGAAUUCCAGGUGGAGGAGUGAAAUCCGUAGAUAUCUGGAGGAACAUCAGUGGCGAAGGCGACUAUCUGGCACAUAACUGACGCUGAGGAGCGAAAGCGUGGGUAGCAAACAGGAUUAGAUACCCGGGUAGUC
rnacentral:rRNA from 1 species